rnacentral:rRNA from 1 species
AGUGAACGCUGGCGGUAGGCCUAACACAUGCAAGUCGGACGGCAGCACAGUAAGAGCUUGCUCUUACGGGUGGCGAGUGGCGGACGGGUGAGGAAUACAUCGGAACCUACUUUUUCGUGGGGGAUAACGUAGGGAAACUUACGCUAAUACCGCAUACGACCUACGGGUGAAAGCAGGGGAUCUUCGGACCUUGCGCGAUUGAAUGAGCCGAUGUCGGAUUAGCUAGUUGGCGGGGUAAAGGCCCACCAAGGCGACGAUCCGUAGCUGGUCUGAGAGGAUGAUCAGCCACACUGGAACUGAGACACGGUCCAGACUCCUACGGGAGGCAGCAGUGGGGAAUAUUGGACAAUGGGCGCAAGCCUGAUCCAGCCAUACCGCGUGGGUGAAGAAGGCCUUCGGGUUGUAAAGCCCUUUUGUUGGGAAAGAAAAGCAGCAGGUUAAUACCCCGCUGUUCUGACGGUACCCAAAGAAUAAGCACCGGCUAACUUCGUG